rnacentral:rRNA from 1 species
UACGUAGGGUGCGAGCGUUAAUCGGAAUUACUGGGCGUAAAGCGUGCGCAGGCGGUUCGUUAAGUCAGCUGUGAAAGCCCCGGGCUCAACCUGGGAAUUGCGGUUGAAACUGGCGAACUAGAAUCUGGCAGAGGGGGUGGAAUUCCACGUGUAGCAGUGAAAUGCGUAGAGAUGUGGAGGAACACCGAUGGCGAAGGCAGCCCCCUGGGCUGAGAUUGGACGGCUCAGGCACGAAAGCGUGGGGAGCAAACAGGG